rnacentral:rRNA from 1 species
GACGAACGCUGGCGGAGUGCUUAACACAUGCAAGUCGAGCGGUAAGGCCCAUUCGGGGGUACACGAGCGGCGAACGGGUGAGUAACACGUGAGCAAUCUGCCCUUCACUUUGGGAUAACCAGCGGAAACGGUCGCUAAUAGCGACUACGACCACCGGCCGCAUGGGCUGGGGGUGGAAAGUUGUGGCGGUGGAUGAUGAGCUCGCGGCCUAUCAGCUUGUUGGUGGGGUAAUGGCCUACCAAGGCGACGACGGGUAGCCGGCCUGGGAGGGUGACCGGCCACACUGGGACUGAGACACUGCCCAGACUCCUACGGGAGGCAGCAGUGGGGAAGAUUGGACAAUGGGCGAAAGCCUGAUCCAGCAACGCCGCGUGAGGGAUGACGGCCUUCGGGUUGUAAACCUCUUUCAGUACCGACGAAGCGCAAGUGACGGUAGGUACAGAAGAAGCACCGGCCAACUACGUGCCGGCCGCCGCGGUAA